CAAUCUUUAUCUAAAUGGUAACAACUUGCAAUGUUUGGGUGCCCUUGAGCUCAUCACACCAAUAGCUAUGUAUGCAGACAAUCUUGGAAGAGAUAAGGAGACAAAUGCCUUACUAUUCAACAAUUAUUCUGAUCAUCAAAUACCAGAAGCAGGGGAAGCCUGCAUGUGAGCUGUCCAAAUUCAGCAUCUCUCUCAGGCAACUUCCACCAAAAUGGCUCAGAUGGCUUGAAUUUAAGAUGCCUCCUCCCUGCAGAACUACUGGUGUGGCUGUCCCAGCAGACACAGGGGGAUGCAAGCUGCAUUCCAAGGGUGAAUCUGGCUAUAUGCUCUCGAGAGGAAGAUAAAUGGAGCAUCUAUAUAAUGCAGACAAGGGUUUGGGUAUCCAUUCAACAGCUUCUGGCUUGAACGUUGCUUCCAAAACAGGAAACUCUAACACUGUGGAAAGUAGUAUGAGGAAGGAAAAGAAAAGAAAAGGUACAGUUCAUUUUUGUGUGGUUUUAUUCUAUUACACAUAAGUCCUCAUCAUUGUAGUAUCUGAGAAUCUUCCAAUAGCACAUUAAGCAAUGUGAUUACCAUCUGUCAUGCGUGGUUCGGUUCUCCUGCUUCCCCCUCCCCAUCAUUAGAUUUUAAGGCCGGGAGGGGAAGGGGGGGGAGAGUCUCACCUCCCUCCUGCAUGACACAGGCCAUAGAAUUUCACCCAGUGCUUUUUACAUCUAGCACAACAAGGUGUGGUGUCUUUUAGAAAGACAACCAAUCUUGAUUUAAAGCCCCCAUCACCCUUCCUCUCUCACUACUGCUCUUGUCUCCAGUGUUUUUGUCACCACAACAAGCUAGUAAUGGAAAAUCUUGAAAAAGGCCUUCUUGACUGUCAUAUAGGCUAGAUCAUCCACUGAGGCCCACCCCUGGGUAAACAGUGGGGUAGAGUUGCACUAGGCCAGAAAUAGCACUAGAAAUAGCAAAAUGCCUCCCAGAGCUCCCUGGUGCACCGUGGGAGUGUACUUGCUACUACACUACUGGGGUAUAGCUCACUACCUCUGUGCACCAGUUCUAUGCAGGCUGGUGUGGAGAGCAGCAAGGUUGUUGCCCCACUUCAUCCUCAACUGCUAUAGAGCACUGUGUGCCUCAGGGGAGUAGGGAGGGGAGUAGUCCCUAUGCUGCCCUGAGCUCCAGGACAGCAAUCCAGACUGGUCCUUGUGAAGGCAACAAAAGGAGUGGGAAAGGGUCCUAACAGCCCUCUGCUCUUGACCAGGCUCUGCACUUGCAUAAAAGGUGGGCAAGAUCUGACCCAUAGUGUGGCACUGUGAUUAUUAAAACCACAAUUAAACAGCACACAAGUGGGCUGGAGUGGUCUAGUGCUUCCAGG
rnacentral:lncRNA from 1 species